rnacentral:lncRNA from 1 species
AAGCUCUUAUCGUGAUCUUUAAUUUGAUAUGCAUAUUAAAUAUAUCAUAAUUAAUCAAAUUUCACAAUUUUAGAAAGAAAUAAAACAAAAAAUAAGAAGAUAAAGAGAAGAAAAUAAAAAGAAAAAAUAUAGUUUACAAAUAGAGUCAACUUUUGAGAUAGUCAUAUUAAGCAAUGAAACUCAAUAUUUGGUCAUCCAUCUUAAAAACAUAAAUUUUGACCAUUUUUUACAAUUUC